rnacentral:rRNA from 1 species
UACGGAGGGGGCUAGCGUUGUUCGGAAUUACUGGGCGUAAAGCGCGCGUAGGCGGCUUUGUAAGUUAGAGGUGAAAGCCCGGAGCUCAACUCCGGAAUUGCCUUUAAGACUGCAUCGCUAGAAUCAUGGAGAGGUGAGUGGAAUUCCGAGUGUAGAGGUGAAAUUCGUAGAUAUUCGGAAGAACACCAGUGGCGAAGGCGGCUCACUGGCCCGGUACUGACGCUGAGGUACGAAAGCGUGGGGAGCAAACAGG